UGGUGGCAUUGCAGCACCCUGUGGUAGGCCACUAUGGCCUGGCAUCUGCAUCAUUCCAGGGCCCAUUUGGGGUGGCACAGAUCCAGGUGGCAAGUAAGGAUGAUUAUUCAUCUGCGCAGGCAUAGAAUGGGGUGCUACUGGAACAGCUGCAGCCCACCCAGCUGAAGGCUGAGGCAUCACUGGAUGGUCUGGAGGAGAAGCAAACUGAGUUCCACUGUAUGGAUGAGCAGGGGG
rnacentral:misc_RNA from 1 species